rnacentral:tRNA from 1 species
GUUUAGGAUAGUGGUAGAAUGCCGCCUUGGCAUGGCGGAGGCCGGGGGUUCAAAUCCCCCCUCG